AGAGUUUGAUCAUGGCUCAGGACGAACGCUGGCGGCAUGCUAACACAUGCAAGUCGAACGGGGAUACAAGAGCUUGCUUUUGUAUCUUAGUGGCGGACGGGCGAGUAACGCGUGAGCAACCUGCCCUUCAGUGGGGAAUAACGUCUGGAAACGGACGCUAAUACCGCAUAACACAACGAAGCCGCAUGACUUUGUUGUCAAAGGAUUUAUUCGCUGAAGGAUGGGCUCGCGUCCGAUUAGCUAGAUGGUGGGGUAAAGGCUCACCAUGGCGACGAUCGGUAGCCGAACUGAGAGGUUGAUCGGCCGCAUUGGGACUGAGACACCGGCCCAGACGCCUACGGGAGGCAGCA
rnacentral:rRNA from 1 species